AUUGAACGCUGGCGGCAGGCCUAACACAUGCAAGUCGAGCGAGCGGCGGACGGGUGAGUAAUGUCUGGGGAUCUGCCUGAUCGAGGGGGAUAACUACUGGAAACGGUAGCUAAUACCGCAUCCUAUCCGAUGUGCCCAUAUGGGAUUAGCUAGUAGGUGGGGUAAGGGCUCACCUAGGCGACGAUCCCUAGCUGGUCUGAGAGGAUGACCAGCCACACGGGAACUGAGACACGGGCCAGACUCCUACGGGAGGCAGCAGUGGGGAAUAUUGCACAAUGGGCGCAAGCCUGAUGCAGCAAUGCCGCGUGUGUGAAGAAGGCCUUAGGGUUGUAAAGCACUUUCAGUGGGGAGGCGUUACCCACAGAAGAAGCACCGGCUAACUCCGUGCCAGCAGCCGCGGUAAUAC
rnacentral:rRNA from 1 species